AACGAACGCUGGCGGCAUGCCUAACACAUGCAAGUCGAACGAGAUCUUCGGGUCUAGUGGCGCACGGGUGCGUAACGCGUGGGAAUCUGCCCUUUGGUUCGGAAUAACAGUUGGAAACGACUGCUAAUACCGGAUGAUGACGAAAGUCCAAAGAUUUAUCGCCAGAGGAUGAGCCCGCGUAGGAUUAGCUAGUUGGGGUGGUAAAGGCGCACCAAGGCGACGAUCCUUACCUGGUCUGAGAGGAUGAUCAGCCACGCUGGGACUGAGACACGGCCCAGACUCCUACGGGAGGCAGCAGUGGGGAAUAUUGGACAAUGGGCGAAAGCCUGAUCCAGCAGUGCCGCGUGAGUGAUGAAGGCCUUAGGGUUGUAAAGCUCUUUUACCCGGGAUGAUAAUGACAGUACCGGGAGAAUAAGCUCCGGCUAACUCCGUGCCAGCCGCCGCCGUAA
rnacentral:rRNA from 1 species